UACGUAGGGGCGAGCGUUGUCCGGAAUUACUGGGCGUAAAGGGUGCGUAGGCGGUCUUUCAAGUCAGGAGUGAAAGGCUACGGCUCAACCGUAGUAAGCUUUUGGAACUGUAAGACUUGAGUGCAGGAGAGGAGAGUGGAAUUCCUAGUGUAGCGGUGAAAUGCGUAGAUAUCACGAGGAAUACCGAAGGCGAAGGCAGUCUUCCAAGCCGUUAUUGACGCUCAACUGCGAAGGUGUGGGUAUCAAACAGGAUUAGAUACCCAGGUAGUCCCUGA
rnacentral:rRNA from 1 species